rnacentral:rRNA from 1 species
GGGAGGGGGGGCAAGCGUUGUCGGAAUUACUGGGCGUAAAGGGCGCGUAGGGCGGUAUGCCAUGUCAGGGGGUGAAAGGGCCUGGGCUCAACCCAGGAACUGCCUUUGAAACUGGCAAACUAGAGUCCGAUAGAGGAUGGCGGAAUUCCCAGUGUAGAGGUGAAAUUCGUAGAUAUUGGGAAGAACACCAGUGGCGAAGGCGGCCAUCUGGAUCGGCACUGACGCUGAGGCGCGAAAGCGUGGGGAGCAAACAGGAUUAGAUACCCUGGUAGUCCACGCCGUAAACGAUGUGUGCUAGACGUUGGGGGUCUUAGACCCUGGGUGUCGUAGCUAACGCGUUAAGCACACCGCCUGGGGAGUACGGCCGCAAGGUUA